rnacentral:lncRNA from 1 species
UCCUUCCUAUCAUAUUCAUAAUUGAUUAAAUUCAUAUUAGAUCAUUAUGAACUAGAUUAUCUUUAUCAUGUUUUCCUGUCACUACUAGCAUCGUACUUUAGCGGAUACUUCCUUCUUAUCAGCGCCUCAACUUUGUUUACUCCCCUAAACGGCUUUCCUCGCCUACCGGUUUCAACAUUAGGAUGGCAUAGUAUAGAAGUUUUCUCCCUGUUUCCAGUGUGCUAAUAAACUAGAAAUCAUGAUUCAAAUAAUUCUAAUACAUAAUAACUAACAUAAAUUUAUUCAAUCAUAUAUAUGAUAUUCAGGAAUAUAUGAAAUUAGUUCCGCAUAUAGUUUGAACAAUAUACCUUUGUCUCUUGCUUAGCCAUGCUAUCUGAAAUAUCUGAUUGGAUUUCAGAUUUAUCCAUUAACUUUUUAAAUAUUUAUCUUAGUUGAGAGAGUAUUUAAAAGAGAGGAUUUUAUUUAUGUUAAGUGGUUUUCGUCUGCGGGUGUCUCCUCUUGUUACAUAUUCCUUCCUUUAUAUAGGAAAGGAAUUAGUGUACGUACUCUACACUACACUACUAUUCACAUCUCAUGACUCAUUACUUACAUAUUAUGACACUUUUUACAUUUGUCAUCCUUAUUAAGCAUGAACACCACCUAUUCUUACACUUGUCCAUCCUUG